rnacentral:rRNA from 1 species
UGAGGAAUAUUGGUCAAUGGGCGAGAGCCUGAACCAGCCAAGUAGCGUGCAGGAUGACGGCCCUAUGGGUUGUAAACUGCUUUUAUAUGGGAAUAAAGUGAGGGACGUGUCCCUUAUUGCAUGUACCAUACGAAUAAGGACCGGCUAAUUCCGUGCCAGCAGCCGCGGUAAUACGGAAGGUCCAGGCGUUAACCGGAUUUAUUGGGUUUAAAGGGAGCGUAGGCUGUUUGUUAAGCGUGUUGUGAAAUGUAAGAGCUCAACUUUUAGAUUGCAGCGCGAACUGGCAGACUUGAGUGCGCACAACGUAGGCGGAAUUCAUGGUGUAGCGGUGAAAUGCUUAGAUAUCAUGACGAACUCCGAUUGCGAAGGCAGCUUACGGGAGCGCAACUGACGCUAAAGCUCGAAGGUGCGGGUAUCGAACAGG